UACGAGGGGGGCAAAUGUUGUUCGGAAUCACUGGGCUUAAAGGGCGCGUAGGCGGGUUGCCAAGUCUGUGGUGAAAUCCUCCAGCUUAACUGGAGAACGGCCGUGGAUACUGGCGACCUCGAGGGGGGUAGGGGCUUGCGGAACUGUGCGUGGAGCGGUGAAAUGCGUUGAUAUGCACAGGAACUCCGGUGGCGAAGGCGGCGAGCUGGACCCUUUCUGACGCUGAGGCGCGAAAGCCAGGGGAGCGAACGGG
rnacentral:rRNA from 1 species